rnacentral:lncRNA from 1 species
UCACUUGUCUCCAUAGCUAAGUCACUUGACCCCAACGAUGCCGUGGACACCCUCUUGAUGGGAUGACUUUGACAUAAUCAAAGAUCAAGGUCUUAACCACAAGACAACUAUGAUGCCUCAGGUCAAAGGACUACUUUGCAUUAUCCCAACAUGAGUUCUCAUUGACAUUAAAUAUGAGAACUCUUCGUUGAUCGCGUUCAGUGAACUCAUUCUUUAUUGAGCACCUACCGUACUUGUCUUGAUGUCACACACACCAAUGACUCGAGACUAAUCACUCUCCCUGAGAGAAGACAUAGUACGUACCGAUCUUAACGGACUGUCAAUGCCCAAUUGGCAAUCCUAUGAUCAGGAACAUUUAGGAUGUGUCUACGAAAGAAUGGUCUCAUGAUCUAACUUCAUUAGAUUACA